ACUCCUACGGGAGGCAGCAGUAGGGAAUCUUCCACAAUGGGCGCAAGCCUGAUGGAGCAACACCGCGUGAGUGAAGAAGGGUUUCGGCUCGUAAAGCUCUGUUGUUAAAGAAGAACACGUAUGAGAGUAACUGUUCAUACGUUGACGGUAUUUAACCAGAAAGUCACGGCUAACUACGUGCCAGCAGCCGCGGUAAUACGUAGGUGGCAAGCGUUAUCCGGAUUUAUUGGGCGUAAAGAGAGUGCAGGCGGUUUUCUAAGUCUGAUGUGAAAGCCUUCGGCUUAACCGGAGAAGUGCAUCGGAAACUGGAUAACUUGAGUGCAGAAGAGGGUAGUGGAACUCCAUGUGUAGCGGUGGAAUGCGUAGAUAUAUGGAAGAACACCAGUGGCGAAGGCGGCUACCUGGUCUGCAACUGACGCUGAGACUAC
rnacentral:rRNA from 1 species